GUUGAAGUCAGACCUGCAGUUUCCAGGGCAGCAGACAAAACAGCCUGAGUCUUCACAGGAGGAAUGGCCAGGCUCCUGGGGGCCUCCUUGUUGAUUCUGUGGCUUCAGCCAGACGGGGCAAAGAGUCAACAGAAGAAUAAUGACCAGCAGUUUAUGCAAAAUCCUCCAUCUCUGACUGUCCAAGAAGGAAGAAAUUCUAUUCUGAAGUGUGACUAUAAUAAGAACAUAUUUGAGUAUUUUGCAUGGUACAAAAAGUACCCUAGUAAAGGUCCCACGUUCCUGAUAUCUGUACUUUCGGAUGAUGAUAAAAAUAAAAAUGGAAGAUUCACAGUUUUCCUCAACCAGAGUGCCAAACACCUGUCUCUGCACAUUGCAGCUUCCCAGCCUGAAGACUCAGCCACGUACUUCUGUGCAGCGAGUACACAGUGCUUGGUAGGCAACUGCAACCAGUACCCAAACCUGUAGCUGGGUUUCAGACAAGGAGGCCCACAAUCUUGCUUCCAUUGUACCUUGCAAUGAG